UUUAUAGUAUCAAACGGGUAAACAAAUAAGGAGUUAAUCCCUAUUUAAGGAACUGAUAUCAACUAUAAUCAAAUAAGUAUGGGGACUCCCCUUUAAUUAAUGAAUCAUAGUCAAACGGUACCAAUCAGUCAUUCAAAAGGAAAGGAACUACUAGGUAGGUCUUGACCACAUAAGGAAAUAAAAAUAGCAUAAAGUAUACAAUGCAGACUAGGUACAUGAGGCUUUAACCAGGGAAACUUGUCAAGCAAAUAUGUAGACAUACUCGUAC
rnacentral:lncRNA from 1 species